rnacentral:ncRNA from 1 species
UUUGUGCCAUACGGGAGCUGGUAAAACCGGCUGAGAGUGCAAUUGAACUGUUUUUGACCGGGUUCUGAUUGCUUACCGCACCUGAUUUGGAUAAUGCCAACGGAGGUAUAAUGAUUAAAGUCAAUGG